rnacentral:rRNA from 1 species
CGUAUCACUUAAAGCGAUUCAGCGGGUUACGAUUGACGGAGCGAAGCGACGUCAAAGCGUAUACAAAGUCGAGUCGGUUUAAGGAUACGUUCGUUGGGUAGGGGAGCGUUCUGUAAGCCUGUGAAGGUGGCCUGUGAGGGUUGCUGGAGGUAUCAGAAGUGCGAAUGCUGACAUAAGUAACGAUAAAGCGGGUGAAAAGCCCGCUCGCCGGAAGACCAAGGGUUCCUGUCCAACGUUAAUCGGGGCAGGGUGAGUCGACCCCUAAGGCGAGGCCGAAAGGCGUAGUCGAUGGGAAACGGGUUAAUAUUCCCGUACUUGGUGUUACUGCGAAGGGGGGACGGAGAAGGCUAUGUUGGCCGGGCGACGGUUGUCCCGGUUUAAGCGUGUAGGUGUGUGUUCCAGGUAAAUCCGGUUCACUUUAACACUGAGGCGUGAUGACGAGGCACUACGGUGCUGAAGCAACAAAUGCCCUGCUUCCAGGAAAAGCCUCUAAGCAUCAGGUAACAUCAAAUCGUACCCCAAACCGACACAGGUGGUCAGGUAGAGAAUACCAAGGCGCUUGAGAGAACUCGGGUGAAGGAACUAGGCAAAAUGGUGCCGUAACUUCGGGAGAAGGCACGCUGACACGUAGGUGAAGUGAUUUACUCAUGGAGCUGAAGUCAGUCGAAGAUACCAGCUGGCUGCAACUGUUUAUUAAAAACACAGCACUGUGCAAACACGAAAGUGGACGUAUACGGUGUGACGCCUGCCCGGUGCCGGAAGGUUAAUUGAUGGGGUCAGCGCAAGCGAAGCUCCUGAUCGAAGCCCCGGUAAACGGCGGCCGUAACUAUAACGGUCCUAAGGUAGCGAAAUUCCUUGUCGGGUAAGUUCCGACCUGCACGAAUGGCGUAAUGAUGGCCAGGCUGUCUCCACCCGAGACUCAGUGAAAUUGAACUCGCUGUGAAGAUGCAGUGUACCCGCGGCAAGACGGAAAGACCCCGUGAACCUUUACUAUAGCUUGACACUGAACAUUGAGCCUUGAUGUGUAGGAUAGGUGGGAGGCUUUGAAGUGUGGACGCCAGUCUGCAUGGAGCCGACCUUGAAAUACCACCCUUUAAUGUUU